AGCGAACGGCUGGCGGCGUGCCUAACACAUGCAAGUCGAACGGUUCUGUUGGGGGCUUGCUCUCGACAGAGUAGUGGCAAACGGGUGAGUAACACGUGGGUAAUCUUCCUUCGAGUGAGGAAUAACUUCGGGAAACCGGAGCUAAUACCGCAUAACAUCUUGGAACGGCAGUUCUAAGAUCAAAGGGGGCGCAAGCUCCCGCUUGAAGUUGAGCUCGCGUCCUAUCAGCUAGUUGGUGAGGUAAUGGCUCACCAAGGCUCCGACGGGUAGCCGGCCUGAGAGGGUGGCCGGCCACACUGGGACUGAGACACGGCCCAGACUCCUACGGGAGGCAGCAGUGGGGAAUAUUGCGCAAUGGACGAAAGUCUGACGCAGCGACGCCGCGUGGGUGAUGAAGGCCUUCGGGUCGUAAAGCCCUGUUGAGGGAGAGAAAGCUACUGUCGGUUAAUACCCGGCAGUGGUGAUAGUAUCCCUAGAGAAAGCACCGGCUAACUACGUG
rnacentral:rRNA from 1 species